CAGGAAAGAAAGGAGUUGUCUUUAAGGCAGUGUGGGAGUGGAUUCUUGAAGCAGCAGUGGAUGUGACUCUGGACCCUGAUACAGCAAACCCCUAUCUCAACCUGUCUGAGGAUGGAAAACAAGUGAGAGAUAGAGACACACCACAGAAUGUCCCUAACACCCCAAAGAGGUUCUAUCCUGCUAUAAAUGUCCUGGGAAAGGAGGGUUUCUCCUCAGGGAGAUCUUACUAUGAGGUGCAGGUUGGGGAGAAGCCUGACUGGGAUUUAGGAGUGGCUAAAGAGUCUGUCAACAGGAAGGGGCAGAUUGCACUGAGACCUGGGAAUGGAUACUGGAGCAUAUGGCUGAGGAAUGGGACUGAGUACAGGGCUUUAGCUGGACCCUCUGUCUCCCUCCCCCUGAGAGAGAAGCCCAGGACAGUGGGGGUGUAUGUGGAUUAUGAGGGGGGUCAGGUCUCUUUUUACAAUGUGGAGGCCAGGUCUCAUAUCUACUCAUACUACACCGGUUACACCUUCACUGAGAAACUCUAUCCAUACUUUAGCCCGAGUCUCAGUAAAAAUGGCACAAA